AAUGUCAAACGAUAUGUCAACCUGUUUCUUGGCAUUGUUUACAAAAAGCUAGAAGAACGCGCCUCAAGCCGGAGAGAUUAAAGGAAUAUCGUAAAAUUGUCUUAUUUAAGAUUCACAAUGUCCCGCAAGGAAGCGCUGUCGCAAUUCAUCAACCAAAUUCACGGCCGACCCGUGGUCGUAAAGCUCAAUAGUGGCGUCGAUUACAGAGGAGUGCUUGCCUGUUUGGACGGCUACAUGAACAUUGCCCUGGACCAGACGGAAGAGUACGUAAAUGGGCAGCUGAAAAACAAGUACGGCGAUGCGUUCAUCCGCGGCAACAAUGUACUCUACAUUUCCACGCAGAAAAGAAGAGUGUAAAAGAUGAAAAGCGAACAAUGGUGAAGAAUAAAAAGCAAAACAUUUUCUUAAAAACGGAAGCUGGUAUUGGCGAUCGUGACGAUCAGCAACAACAACAACCACAUCGGUAAAAUGUUAUCAAGCACCAGGGACGGGGCGUGCUGCAGGGAGAGGUGGAAAGUGAAAGUAGGAAUUGUUGCUACAGCGCCGUACUACACGAAGCGAUCGACGAACUAUCCGUACACCUUUCGUAGCGCUGUGUAUGUGUGUGUGUGUGCUUGUUUCACGAAUCGUCUUCGGCUGCUGCAUACCAACGAAACAGCCCCGUUUCGAGAGUGUAAGUAAGUAACGGCCAUUUCAGCUUCAUCUUAUUCUAUCAAUGAAUGAAGGAAAAAGUGCAAUUGCACUUUUUACACACGCGACGAUACCAGGCACUGUGACACAGUGCGUACAGUGCGCUUGAUGUUGGUGCGUCAACGCACACGCGCGCGCACUGAUCAGCGCAAUGUUAAGCGCUACGAAAGAGUUGCCCACGAGUAUAGGCGACGAACCGCUGUACGCAUGCUGUUGUCAUAGUGAACUGAAGUGCAUGCUUUCAAUUGAGUCGCAGCAUGGUUUGUUGAGUUGAGGAAAAAAAAAUGCGUGCUAUCCUUUCCUACUAGGCAGGUAGAUUACGCACGUGUUUUGCGCGGCCGGUUCUUGUGAUCAUCAGCGACUUCUCUGUGGAGAUGAGAUUGGCUUUCUUGUACCAGACUGCUUUUUGGAGGCUGUUUCAAGACGCAACUGAAGGUGAAGUGUCUCAUUUUAUUUUUUUACUUCAAGCCAAGGUAAUUAAGUCUUCUAAAUGCGAAUUUAAAACCUUCUAAUUCAAUUACUCUUGGAGGACACUUACGUACGGCUCGAAGCGAAAGGAAAUAAUGUCAUUCCACCAGAUAAAUAAGAAAGAUUGCUAAAUAAAAUCAUUACCCUAAUGUUGUGCUUGGCAUCCUAUUUGAAAGCAAUCAAAUCGUGCUUUAUCGUGCCGCGACUUAGUCGAUUUAAGACGACCUUUCGGUAAGAGUAGUGUGUGUUUCCUUCUUCUUUGGAGGGUAAAUAAAAAAAUCAUACGCAUCAUUAAACGCAAACCACUGACCUCUGCUGUUUGCUUGCUUGUGUGUCUGUGAGCCGUUGAGUUUUAGGAAGUGUGAAGCGUUUCUUGCCGAAGGGUGUUUCGGGGUUUGUGUGCUCGUGACACAGAUCACACGCAAGAUCGAUCGUGGGUCGGUUCAGGGACCGGGGCCAAAUUGCAUCAUCUCAAUUUGGAAGGCAAUUGGAUGGAUGUAAGUGAUUAGAUUUCAAUGUAUACUGUCCUAAUUUUUUGUGUUGUUUUAUUAAACGCUGUCAAGGGGUACAUAACACGUUUGAAUUAAUCAUAGAAAUAAACUUUAAAUCAGCA